CAAGUAACGAUUUGGCUCCCUGAGAGGGAGGCCAUCAACGUGGGAAGAGAGAAGGAGAGUAGGAGAAGCCUGGGACUGCGGCCUGAGGACUGGCCGGCAGCAGACCCAAGACCACACUGGGAUGCCCCACCUUGAAGGCUCUCUGCUGGACAUGCCGGGCCUGAGUCAACUCACUGCCGUCGACCCCGCCCAGGGCCGAUGAGGCCGGCUCUUCAGAUCCUCCCUGAGGAGCAGUCCUCUCCUGUGGACUGACCGGUGGCCAUGUUGGGAAGAAGAGGUGACUUUGGUGCCUGAACAGGCCCUCUACAGGCCUGGCAAUGCUGCUGGAGGAAUUAGAAUCCUUGUCCACUUCAGGCUGGUUGAGACCACCAACCCAUCAAUGGGCCUGUGCAGAUGUCCGAUAGGCGACCUUUUGACAUCAAGAGGCUAAAAACUCCACCUUCAGAUCACGCUCACAGCGCCAUUGUGUGCGCAGGCACCCUGUGAAGAGGCGUGGAGUCUGACUACUCUUGUGUAGAUCUUCAAUGACCUCACCUCUCCUCACCUCCAAUCACCUACCUCCACACUUCAGACCACCUUGCACCCCCAUCCCAGAAAUAUCCCUGAGGCCCUUUUUUCUGAGAAGCAAAUUUGAGACUCAUGCUCUC
rnacentral:lncRNA from 1 species